UACAGAGACUGCAAGCGUUAUUCGGAUUCACUGGGCGUAAAGGGUGCGCAGGCGGCCAAGUGUGUGAGGUGUGAAAGCCCGGGGCUUAACCCCGGAAUUGCACCUCAAACUACAUGGCUAGAGCAUUGGAGAGGGUAGCAGAAUUCACGGUGUAGCAGUGAAAUGCGUAGAUAUCGUGAGGAAUACCAGAGGCGAAGGCGGCUACCUGGACCAGCACUGACACUGAGCCACGAAAGCGUGGGGAGCAAACAGG
rnacentral:rRNA from 1 species